UGCUUUAUGGCUUAGUUGGUUAAAGCGCUGGACUAGCAAUACGAUGUCAUGGGUUCGAAUCCUAUCAAAACAA
rnacentral:tRNA from 1 species